rnacentral:rRNA from 1 species
UACGGAGGGGGCUAGCGUUGUUCGGAAUUACUGGGCGUAAAGCGCACGUAGGCGGACUGUUAAGUCGGGGGUGAAAUCCUGGGGCUCAACCUCAGAAUUGCCUCCGAUACUGGCAGUCUCGAGUGCGGGAGAGGUGAGUGGAAUUCCCAGUGUAGAGGUGAAAUUCGUAGAUAUUGGGAAGAACACCAGUGGCGAAGGCGGCUCACUGGCCCGUAACUGACGCUGAGGUGCGAAAGCGUGGGUAGCAAACGGG